UACGAAGGGGGCUAGCGUUGUUCGGAAUUACUGGGCGUAAAGGGCGCGUAGGCGGUACUUCAAGUCAGGCGUGAAAGCCCCGGGCUCAACCUAGGAACUGCACUCGAAACUGCGUUUCUUGAGUAUCGGAGAGGAAAGCGGAAUACCUGGUGUAGAGGUGAAAUUCGUAGAUAUCAGGUGGAACACCAGUGGCGAAGGCGGCCACCUGGCCGAACACUGACGCUGAGACGCGAAAGCGUGGGGAGCAAACAGG
rnacentral:rRNA from 1 species